ensembl:lncRNA
CACAGAAGUCUGAAGCUGACUUUAUCAAGCCCCAGCUGCUCAGAAUUUUCUGCAGUUCAGGUGUCACCUGGUUGAAGAAGGAGUAAUGAGAGGGAAAGUUUUGGUCAACUUCUGCAAUCUUUAGACCCUUCUCAGUACAAUCAAUAUAUUCAGAACUUUGAUGCAGGAAUAUGGUUGCACACCAGCUUGUCUUCUAAUCUCUAACCAGAUUCAACCUCUGAAUUCCCAUGACCAUCUGAAUUGGAGUGAGAUAAAAAUUAUCCUGCAGGACUUGGCUCCAGAGGCAGAAGCAGGACAACAUUAUUAUGGGAUAUUCAUAUCAGCUAUGAAUGUUUUGAAGCUGACUCUCCAGCACCUUGUUGUGAUGCAAACACUUCUCCCCUGAAAACCAGCUGUAAAGUGCCUACUACAAAUGCAAAUAGCUGUAAGAGCAUGCAAGGCAAUACAUUAUCUGGCACCAUAGCACUAAAAUUUUGAGGAGGAGGAAGAAAAAUUUUAAUUUAACCCACAAAGCAUGGCUUGCUCUUGCUUCUAUUUGAGAAGAUAUCAUCAUAAUCUCUUCCAAAAUCACUCGUAUUAAUCUCACAGCAUUUACGUUAAUCACAGCCAUUCAUGCAACUCGUGCAGAAAUCAAGAACCUAUGAUGUCUCUUAUCACAGUAUCAGUGGGAUGGGUAAUUAAAAGCUAAUCAAGUGGUCUCCAGGAGUUCUGGGCCAUCAUUUAGUACUGUAGCCAGCAUGAUGGAUUAAAGCAGUAACUCAGCCUGAAAAGACAGAAUCCAUGUUAUUUUUCCUCAAUUUAAUUCAAAUGGUAGAAUUUCAUCCUUUUGGUAAGAUAGAUGAUGCCAUUUCAGAGUAUUGUAUGUUCGUGGGUGGAUUUAGGAGGGGAGGAUUUAAUAAUAAGGAAAAGGGAGGAUAUAAUAAGAGGAAAAAGAGAAACAGGUUGUUGAUUGAGCAAUAAAUUACAGACAGCACAGCA